rnacentral:sRNA from 1 species
GCCAGGUGUAGUGGCACACACCUGUAAUCCCAGUGGCUCAGGAGGCUGAGGCAGGCGGAUCAUGAGUUCAAAGCCAGCCUCAG